ACAUGCUUACAACAUAGUGUUAAUGCAUCGGAUCCCAUUAGAACUCCACAGUUAAGUGCGCUUGGGCUAGAGUAGUACUCGGAUGGGUGACCGCCCGAGAAGUCCUUGUAUUACACAUGCC
rnacentral:rRNA from 1 species